AGGUCAUCCCUCCGCCACUGCGUCUGUCUUCCAAAAUCUGGCGGCGCACACAACCAAUUCGCCGCCGGGCCCCCACCUCUCCACCCGCAUGGCCGAUCUGUGAACAGAGCAAGCAUCAAUGGAGUAGGUUCCUCCUAAUCUUUCCACUCCCCUCUCUCCUUUGGAUCAAGCUCCUUCCACCUGGAGGAAGGGCUGAAGCCGGGUCGAUUCCGUCGUGCGUCAGAGCUUAGAGGCGUCACCGCCGGGGCGCGUCACCGGGCCACGCGCCGAGAGAGCAGCGCGGUUACUGGCUACACGUUGGAGCCUUGGAGGUUGCUGGCUCGCAGCAGGCUGGGGCUGCUGGACAUGGAGAUCAGAUGGAGCAUAAGUCAGCGAGUACUUCAAUCUCAAGUUCGAGCUCCCCGUCCAGCCCCAUGUCUUCGUCUUCACAUGAAUCAGUCUUCUACUAUAUUUAGAGGUGGAUGCAAAUUUCUGCACAAUCUUCGGCUUUCUUGAUGUUGCACUGAUUAUGUAAUCUGCGUAUGGGUUGAUAAUGAGUUAUAAAGCUCGGGUUGUCUAAACCUGAAAAUUCAGUGAGGUGUAAAUGUACAGUUCACUAUUAUACUUCAACAUGAUCAGGUGUUGUUCUUUCCCCUCUCGCACUUAUGAGAUCAUUACUUUGUACCCCCUCUUAAAGAAAUAUAAGAGUUUUAGAUCACUGUAAUUACUAUUCUUAUUCCAUCAUAUUCCGUAUCAAGCCGAUAUCUCUUGUACAAUAGUCGUUUUCGCAAAUAAAUAUUUUAUGGUAUGUUUUUUCCAUCAAGCUGAUAUCCCAUUAUGAUAUGUUUUUUGCUUUGCACAUGCAGGAUGCCUUUAAUCAAAAGGAUUGGUUUAGUCAAUCCAUAAGAUUGAUUCAUUACCUUGGAGUUCUAGAGGGAUUUUGUGUACCAUGUUCUUCAGCUGAGCGACUACUUCGUCGGCCAAACACCCGGCUCCUGCUGCAAAGAUGUCCACUGUCCAAGACCCGUGCGUAUCAUUAUUCUCCCUGUCUGUGCCGCGCAACAGCAGUUUCCUGUAGCCCUGCCUCCAUCAGCUUCUCCCUCUUCCUUGCAAUCGUGGGUACAGGACAUCGGCAACAGCAAUAUCUGCACUCAGUAUACAGUUGGCAAAACCGAAUUUCAGCUCCGAUCAAAGCUUCUACUUCAUGGCUGCGCAUUCUAAAAAUUUAGUGAUUUUGCCCACUAAAGAUAUAACAUAUCUGCUACUAUUAAUAGCACGUGAUCCGUUUUUCUUCAUUUAUGCUAACCGUCGAAACUAAUAAAAUGCUUGAUGAUAUUAGUGGAUCUCUUUAUAACCGUAUAUGUCUGGUUGUUCCAAGAUAAUUGUUAGCUGUGAUAUUAUAUCAACUGAUUAUCUUGCUGAUGCUGAUCCGCUCUAUCCAUCGGAAUUCUUACAUUCUGUAGUCGUUAAAAAUUUUGCACAUCAUGAAAUUGGUUUGGAAGUUAAAAAAUUAUUGACGUAUAUAAUAAAGGACAGUGUUUUUGUAUU